UUGAACGCUGGCGGCAGGCCUAACACAUGCAAGUCGAGCGGUAGAGAGAAGCUUGCUUCUCUUGAGAGCGGCGGACGGGUGAGUAAUGCCUAGGAAUCUGCCUGGUAGUGGGGGAUAACGUUCGGAAACGAACGCUAAUACCGCAUACGUCCUACGGGAGAAAGCAGGGGACCUUCGGGCCUUGCGCUAUCAGAUGAGCCUAGGUCGGAUUAGCUAGUUGGUGAGGUAAUGGCUCACCAAGGCGACGAUCCGUAACUGGUCUGAGAGGAUGAUCAGUCACACUGGAACUGAGACACGGUCCAGACUCCUACGGGAGGCAGCAGUGGGGAAUAUUGGACAAUGGGCGAAAGCCUGAUCCAGCCAUGCCGCGUGUGUGAAGAAGGUCUUCGGAUUGUAAAGCACUUUAAGUUGGGAGGAAGGGCAGUUACCUAAUACGUGAUUGUUUUGACGUUACCGACAGAAUAAGCACCGGCUAACUCNGUGCCAGC
rnacentral:rRNA from 1 species